CAGCACCUCAAGUGGUCAGGAUGAUUAUUGGGCCUAAAGCAUCCGUAGCCGGCUCUGUAAGUUUUCGGUUAAAUCUGUACGCUCAACGUACAGGCUGCCGGGAAUACUGCAGAGCUAGGGAGUGGGAGAGGUAGACGGUACUCGGUAGGAAGGGGUAAAAUCCUUUGAUCUAUUGACGACCACCUGUGGCGAAGGCGGUCUACCAGAACACGUCCGACGGUGAGGGAUGAAAGCUGGGGGAGCAAACCGGAUUAGAUACCCGAGUAGUCC
rnacentral:rRNA from 1 species